CCUACGGGUGGCAGCAGUGAGGAAUAUUGGUCAAUGGCCGGAAGGCUGAACCAGCCAAGCCGCGUGAGGGAUGAAGGCGCAGAGCGUCGCAGACCUCUUUUGCCGGGGUACAAAAGGCCGGACUCGUCCGGUCCUGAGGGUACCCGGAGAAAAAGCAUCGGCUAACUCCGUGCCAGCAGCCGCGGUAAUACGGAGGAUCCGAGCGUUCUCCGGAUUCAUUGGGUUUAAAGGGUGCGCAGGCGGGCCUUUAAGCCGGCGGUGAAAUUGUGGGGCUCAACCCCACCGAGCGGUUGGAACAGGGGGCGUUGAGUGCGGCGGAGGAAUGGGGAAUGCGCGGUGUAGCGGUGAAAUGCAUAGAUAGCGCGCAGAACGCCGAUUGCGAAGGCAGCGUGCCGGGGCGCUACUGACGCUGAGGCACGAAAGCGCGGGGAUCGAACAGGAUUAGAUACCCGUGUAGUC
rnacentral:rRNA from 1 species